GCUUCCUUAGCUCAGUCGGUAGAGCGCGAGUCUCAUAGAAAUUGAGGGACAUUGAGGGUCUCAUAAUCUCGAGGUCGCAAGUUCGAGCCUUGCAGGGAGCA